rnacentral:tRNA from 1 species
GGUGGUGUAGCUCAGUGGUAGGGUGCUUAGUAAUGUACAAGGUCCUGAGUUCGAUCCCCAGUACCUCCA